rnacentral:lncRNA from 1 species
AAAGAGUGUCUGCUGGCCUAGAGGACAUUCGCGUUCUUUGUCAGCUAUGAUUCUUUCUGGGUUCUAUAUUCUAAGUAUAAAUAAAGCAGGGUUCCCCAUAAUGCACGUCUUCCUUGACCUUUCUAGCUUGUGCAACCCUUCCUUCCACCCAUCCUGUGUCUACCCUCAUGCUUAAUAGCGAGCCUGUGGAAUCCAGGUGCCACUCACUCUCUGGGCUUUUUGCUUGUUACCCUUUCACACCCAGUGCAUGCUGCUGAGGCUUCUCUGAGCUGUUGUUUCCUAUUCUGGUGAGCAGUGUUGCCUCGCCAAACCCUCAAUCCUUCCAUAAAACCCCAUGGCCCUUCUCCACCCACAGCCACUACCUGGAUGUUCUCAAACCUGCAUAGAACAAAGCAAUCUGGUGGGAGAGGCAACAGACGCCUCUUCUAGUCGCUUGUUCUAUCACCUGUAUCUGGUCUCAGAAAGUCUCCAAUAGACAACUCUGUGAGUGAGCUUCUGCACACCUUUAGCCUUUCUAUGUUCUCAGUCUCUGUCGUUUGUCAUGGACAAAUAAGAGGAGCCGGAUCAGGAGGUAGAUAGAUAUAGAUAUGGAAGACAGAGAGAUGAGAGAUAGUGAGAGGGAGAGAUUAGAGAGACAGAUAUAGGAGAGAGGUGAGAGAUAGAGAGAUGAGAGAGACAGAGAGAGGGAUUUUAGAGCUCCUGGAUCUCAAAAAUCUUGUCUUCCUUAUCUGAAAUUGACUUCAGUAGAUUAUCCUAGCUCUGUCCACCCACAACAUGGACAAUGAUUCAUCAUUCUGAUGGUUUUUGAUAAAGCAAUGGAUCAGAUUUAUUGGCGUCCCUGAUACACUCUGGGUAUAGUAAGUUUGCUUUAGGAGUCCAGUUCAUGAAAGUGUUCCGUGCUCACCUGAAUCUUCAAAGGAAGAGAGGCCCUUAAGAAUCUGUUACAUUUCUUUUCACUUCUCUGAUAACAUAUGUGAUGAUUAAUCAUUGAUUGCGGUUUUACCUGGGUUAAGACAUGCCUAGGAGAUCAGCAAACUUCACCUCUGGGUGUAUCUGUGCUGGCAUUCUUCAAGGAUGAUUAGCUCCUGGGGGCUCUUAUGUGGUUUAAUUCUCCGAUGGAUUCAAAUGUGAGCAGACUUUGUAGAGGUAGUAGAACUGUGACAGGUGGGUCCUGGUCAGAGGAAGUAGAUCAUAGGGAUCAUAGGGUUGUGCCUUUGAAGGGCAUAUCUGCACCCAGAUUCUCUUGUGAUUUCUUUGCUCUCUAAUGACCAUGAGAUAAAGAGCUUGCUUCCUACGUGUCAUGUAUUCUGUGCCUGCCUCCCGGCAGGACUAAAAGCAAUGAACCCAGGCUAUUUCAGAGCAAACCCCCUGCACCAGUGGCUCUCAGUCUAUGAGUUCUGACCCUGAGGGGUGUCAAAAGACCGCUUUACGGGGGUCACAUAUCAGAUAUGCUGCAUGCUCGAUAUUUAAUCACAAUUCAUACAGUAGAAUAUGCAGUUAUAAAGUAGGAACAAAAAUAAUCUUAUGGUUGGGGGAGGGGUCACCACGACAUGAGGAGCUGUAUUAAAGGGCCUUAGCAUUAAGAAAGUUGAGAACCCAAUAGAAAGAAGAAAACAUCUUCAACAAAUGUUGCUGGUCUAACUGGAUAUCUGCAUGUAGAAGAAUGCAAAUAGAUCAAUAUCUAUCACCCAACACAAAACCAAGUCCAAAUGGAUCAAAGACCUCAGUAUAAAACCAGAUACACUAAACCUGAUAGAAGAGAAGGUAGAGAAUAGCGUGAACACAUUGGCAUAGGAGACAACUUUCUGAACAGAACACCAAUCAUACAGGCACUAAGAUUAACAAUUAAUAAAUGGGACCUCGUGAAAUAAAAAGCUUUGUAAAGAAAAGAACACCAUCAAACAGGCAAAAUGGCAGCCUACAGAUUGGGGAAAGGUCUUUACCAGCCCUUCAUCCAAUAUAGGGCUAAUAUCUAAAAUAUAUAAAGAACUCAAAAAAAUUAAACACCAGCAAACCAAAUAACCCAAUUCAAAAGUGAGGUAUGGAUCUAAACAGACUGCUCAACAGAGGAAUCUCUAAUGGCUGAGACGCACUAAAGAAAUGUUCAUUCUGACUGGUGUGAGGUGGAAUCUCAAGGUUGUUUUGAUUUGUAUUUCCCUAUUAAUUAAGGAUGUUGAACAUUUUUUCAGGUGCUUCUCAGCCACUUGGUAUUCCUCAGUUGAGAAUUCUUUGUUUAGCUCUGUACCCCAUUUUUAAUGGGGUUACUUGAAUUUUCGGAGUCCAGCUUCUUGAGAUCUUUGUAUAUAUUGGAUAUUAGUCCCCUAUCAGAUUUUAAAAUCCUUUCCCAGUCUUUUGGUGGCCUUCUUCAAGGAUGAUUAGCUCCUGUGGUAUAGUAUGUACUCACUUUCAAGUGUAUGUUAGUCGUAAAGUACAGGAUAACCAUUCUACAGCCCACAGACCCAGAGAAGCUAAGUAACAAGGAGGGCUCAGAGGGGACACACGAAUCUCACUGAGGAGGGGAAAUGGAAUAGACUAGACCAUGAGAUGGGAUGGAGAUGGACAGGAUGGAGAGAGUACUGGGGAAAACAACAUCUCUGGGAUGAGCUAGAAACCUAGGGCAAUGGAAACUCCCAGGAACCUAUAAGGGUGAUCCUAGUUAAGACUCCUAACAAUGAGGGAUACAUAUCCUGACCAGUUACAUCUCCUGUAAUCAGCUAAGACUUCCAAAAGAGGGAUUAAGAAACCAACCCAACCCCCAAACCUCUGAUCUACCAUUUUUCCUGCUUGCAAGAUGUGCUGGGGUAAAGGUGGUGCAGAAAUUGUGGUGGGUGACCAACGAAUGACUGGUCCAGCUUGAGUUCCAUGCCAUGAGAAGGGUCCCACCCCUGACACUGCCUGGAGGCCCAGGAUAGAACC